AUUGAACGCUGGCGGCAGGCUUAACACAUGCAAGUCGAGCGCGCGGCGUACGUGUGAGUAAUGUCUGGGAACCUGCCUCCUGGAGGGGGAUAACUAUUGGAAACGGUACCUAAUACCGCAUACCAUCAGAUGUGCCCCGCUGGGAUUAGCUAGUAGGUGGGGUAAUGGCUCACCUAGGCGACGAUCCCUAGGUGGUCUGAGAGGAUGACCAGCGACACUGGAACUGAGACACGGUCCAGACUCCUACGGGAGGCAGCAGUGGGGAAUAUGGCACAAAGUGCGCAAGCCUGAUGCAGCCAUUCCGGGUGUAUGAAGAAGGCGUUCGGGUUGUAAAGGACUUUCAGCGGGGAGGCGUUACCCGCAGAAGAAGCACCGGCUAACUCCGUGCCAGCAGCCGCGGUAAUUC
rnacentral:rRNA from 1 species